rnacentral:rRNA from 1 species
AUUGAACGCUGGCGGCAAGCCUAACACAUGCAAGUCGAACGAGUGGCGGACGGGUGAGUAAUGUCUGGGAAACUGCCUGAUGGAGGGGGAUAACUACUGGAAACGGUAGUUAAUACCGCAUAGCUUCGGCUGUGCCCAGAUGGGAUUCGCUAGUAGGUGGGUUAAAGGCUCACCUAGGCGACGAUCCCUAGCUGGUCUGAGAGGGUGACCAGCCACACUGGAACUGAGACACGGGCCAGACUCCUACGGGAGGCAGCAGUGGGGAAUAUUGCGCAAUGGGCGAAAGCCUGAUGGAGCCAUGCCGCGUGUGUGAAGAAGGCCUUCGGGUUGUAAAGUACUUUCAGCAGGGAAGCGUUACCCGCAGAAGAAGCACCGGCUAACUCCGUGCCAGCAGCCGCGGUAAUUC